GCCUGGCUGGCUCAGUCAAUGGAGCUUGUGAUUCUUGAUCUUGGGGUUGUGGGUUCGAGCCCCAUGUUGGGUG
rnacentral:tRNA from 1 species